GGCUAGCGGCAGGCUAACACAUGCAAGUCGAGGGGUAGAGGAAGCUUGCUUCCUUGAGACCGGCGCACGGGUGCGUAACGCGUAUGCAAUCUGCCUUGUACUGAGGGAUAGCCCAGAGAAAUUUGGAUUAAUACCUCAUAGCAUUAUGAAAUCGCAUGGUUUUAUAAUUAAAGUUCCAACGGUACAAGAUGAGCAUGCGUCCCAUUAGUUAGUUGGUAAGGUAACGGCUUACCAAGACGAUGAUGGGUAGGGGUCCUGAGAGGGAGAUCCCCCACACUGGUACUGAGACACGGACCAGACUCCUACGGGAGGCAGCAGUGAGGAAUAUUGGUCAAUGGACGCAAGUCUGAACCAGCCAUGCCGCGUGCAGGAUGAAGCAUCUAUGGUGUGUAAACUGCUUUUGUACGGGAAGAAACACUCCUACGUGUAGGAGCUUGACGGUACCGUAAGAAUAAGGAUCGGCUAACUCCGUGCCAGCAGCCGCGGUAAUACGGAGGAUCCAAGCGUUAUCCGGAAUCAUUGGGUUUAAAGGGUCCGUAGGCGGCUUUAUAAGUCAGUGGUGAAAGCCCAUCGCUUAACGAUGGAACGGCCAUUGAUACUGUAGAGCUUGAAUUACUUGGAAGUAACUAGAAUAUGUAGUGUAGCGGUGAAAUGCUUAGAUAUUACAUGGAAUACCAAUUGCGAAGGCAGGUUACUACAAGUGGAUUGACGCUGAUGGACGAAAGCGUGGGGAGCGAACAGGAUUAGAUACCCCUGGUAGUCCACGCCGUAAACGAUGGAUACUAGCUGUUCGGAGCAAUCUGAGUGGCUAAGCGAAAGUGAUAAGUAUCCCACCUGGGGAGUACGCACGCAAGUGUGAAACUCAAAUGAAUUGACGGAAGGCGAAUUCCAGCACA
rnacentral:rRNA from 1 species